AUUGAACGCUGGCGGCAGGCCUAACACAUGCAAGUCGAGCGGAUGAAGGGAGCUUGCUCCUGGAUUCAGCGGCGGACGGGUGAGUAAUGCCUAGGAAUCUGCCUGGUCGUGGGGGAUAACGUCCGGAAACGGGCGCUAAUACCGCAUACGUCCUGAGGGAGAAAGUGGGGGAUCUUCGGACCUCACGCUAUCAGAUGAGCCUAGGUCGGAUUAGCUAGUUGGUGGGGUAAAGGCCUACCAAGGCGACGAUCCGUAACUGGUCUGAGAGGAUGAUCAGUCACACUGGAACUGAGACACGGUCCAGACUCCUACGGGAGGCAGCAGUGGGGAAUAUUGGGCAAUGGGCGAAAGCCUGAUCCAGCAAUGCCGCGUGUGUGAAGAAGGUCUUCGGAUUGUAAAGCACUUUAAGUUGGGGGGAAGGGCAGUAAGUUAAUACCUUGCUGUUUUGACGUUACCAACAGAAUAAGCACCGGCUAACUUCGUG
rnacentral:rRNA from 1 species